CUCAAACUGACCUGAGGCAAGUGCAGACCUGCUGUUAGAGAAGAUAGCAUGGGAGCAAUCCAUUUGUUCCUGACCCUGGGGACUCUUAAGACAGACUGAGUUCUCUCACAUCCGGGCAACCACCAACUUGUGCUGGUGAUUGAUUAAGCCUUUGGGUAUUGUAUACAUCAACCAGUUGCAGCAGGCAAGGGAUGGAGAAAUGAGGCCUCUGGGAAUGAAAGUGUGGAGUCAGCUUUGGGCAAAUGGAAAUUGAAUGGAAGGAGCAUCUCAGGAAGAAGGCUAAGAAGGCAAAACAGAGCUUGCAUUGCAGGAGGCAGACUUCAGACCAGGCUUAGGGUGAGGGAACAAAGACGUCUCAGUGCCCCGGCUGAGAAAUUGGACAAGAAAGACGGGACCCGUGCUCCCCUACAGGAGGUGGGCUGAGGGCAGAGCUGUUUGCCUGGCAGAGGAGGAGCAAACAGCCAUGUUGUAAAUGGCCUCUGAGGAGGACUGGCCUCUAGGAGUUGAGGACCUCAAGCCUACAUCUGCAAGGAAUUGAACGAUGCCAAGAACCCGAACAAACUCUGAAGAUGAGAAUGCGGCCCUGGGAGGCUGUGAGGAUCUAGAGGAUACAGCUACGGAGAACAUGCUGGGUUCCUUGAGCUGCUAAGCACUGAAGUCCCACCAAUGGUGACGAAGGUCUAAGGAGAACAUUGCAAUUGCACAAAAUGAUCCUUGGAAAUUCUUUAGAAGGGCACCAUCUUGGAGACCCAGAAUCAAUAAAACCAGCAUGGCUGGGAGUUUUCUCCAGCAUUUGAAUAAAUUGUUGUUUCUUUGGUUGAACCAUGAUGAGAUAAUUGGCUUAAACCAGGAGUCAUGCAUGGUAUCUGGAAACUUCCUCACUUGAAUCACCAGCAUCAUACUCAGCAUGCAUAAUCCUCUCAUCAUGAGAGGCACAGGGGAAAUGAGCCAGCCUGUCUGGAAAGGAAGCAAAUGCAUGCUUUCCAUCUCCCACUCAGUACUGGACAUGAAGCUAUGUCAUCACCACUUAAUGCCAGCACCACUUAAAUGAUGUUUCUCUCUCUCUGCCCUGUACUUGCUGGAGGCACAUGCCCAUAUCACGUAGGGUGUCAGGGCAGAGAGCUCUUAGGAAGAGCUGAGCUGUGGGGACUUCCUCCCACGCAGAAGAGGGAGGCCUCUGCAGAAUUCUCUGCCAUGUGCUUCUAGGCUUCCUCAACUCAGAAAUUUUAUUAUAGAGUUUUAGAAUGUGAAGAGCUCUUGGAAAUCAUGAAAGAUGAAGAAUCAAGAUGGAAGUUUGAUGGCUUGUCCCAGGCCCCAGAGUGGACCCUUUGCUUUUUGGAAUCCAACAGCAAGGACUCAUGGGAAUAUCGUGGGAUUUGACUUGGAGAGACAGGGCUCAAACCUCAUCUUUGUCACUUAGUGAUUGUGUAAUUCUCUAAAAGUCUAUUUGUAGAAAAGGGAUAAGGGAGCUUUCUUUCCUGGAUUUCAAGAUGAUUAAAAGAGAUGUAUGUAUAAAGGGAUGCUCAGUUGUCUGAGCUGAGAUGACUGCAAAGUCACUGCACUCCUCUUACAAUGCCUGACAGGUGCUUCCAUCUUUGGGAGGUGUGGAGCCCUUGACAGGCACGUCAGCAGGGGGCAUUUGGGAGGGCAGCCUGCGAGGGUGAGGGGAUGCCAGUGGGCCAUACUGCAGAGGCAGAAACUUGGGGGAGGGGUCACAGGCGGUCAACUGAAGAAGGGGCUUGUGCCUGCAGAUGCUCCAAGAGGGGAGUCUAAGAGGAAUCCAGAAAAGUGUCCCCAAGAGAAAGAAUCUGACUUUAAUGUUAGCCGGACCCAGA
rnacentral:lncRNA from 10 species